ensembl:snRNA U6 U6 spliceosomal RNA
ACUUUGGCAGCACAUGGUUCAUAAAAAAAUUGGAACAAUACAGAGAAGAUUGGCAUGGCCCUUGCCCAAGGAUGACUCUCAAAUCUGUGAAGUGUUCCAUAUUUUU